GACGAACGCUGGCGGCGUGCUUAACACAUGCAAGUCGAACGAAGAGCGAUGGAAGCUUGCUUCUAUCAAUCUUAGUGGCGCACGGGUGAGUAACGCGUAAUCAACCUGCCCUUCAGAGGGGGACAACAGUUGGAAACGACUGCUAAUACCGCAUACGAUCUAAUCUCGGCAUCGAGGAUAGAUGAAAGGUGGCCUCUACAUGUAAGCUAUCACUGAAGGAGGGGAUUGCGUCUGAUUAGCUAGUUGGAGGGGUAACGGCCCACCAAGGCGAUGAUCAGUAGCCGGUCUGAGAGGAUGAACGGCCACAUUGGGACUGAGACACGGCCCAGACUCCUACGGGAGGCAGCAGUGGGGAAUCUUCCGCAAUGGACGAAAGUCUGACGGAGCAACGCCGCGUGAGUGAUGACGGCCUUCGGGUUGUAAAGCUCUGUUAAUCGGGACGAAAGGCCUUCUUGCGAACAGUUAGAAGGAUUGACGGUACCGGAAUAGAAAGCCACGGCUAACUACGUG
rnacentral:rRNA from 1 species